AGUCGCGAACGAGCGUGCCGCGCCGCGUGCACUCUCACACACACACAGAGAGAGAGAGAGAGAGAGAGAGAGAGAGAGAGAGAGAGAGAGAGAGAGAGAGAGAGAGAGAGAGAGAGAGAGAGAGAGAGAGAGAGAGAGAGAGAGAGCGCAACGCGAAAAGCCGAAAACCCAAAUCGAGUUUCCUGCCGGCCUGUCCAAUUUCUGUCUAACUCCCAGUCCCAGACCCAGACCCAGAGAAGAUCAGAAGAAGGGGGAAGACAGCUCGUGCUUCGACAGGCGUCAGCCCUAGCGCAGCUUCCCGGCGACGGCGAUGAGCCUGGGAGCUGAGGUGAUCGAGCUCUCCAGCGACGAAGACGAGGAGCCUGUGCCCAGCACUACCGCUCUCAUCCACCACGCCCCCUCCUCCCCUCCCGACGUCAAGCCGCACCUGCUCGCCGACGUCGAUGUGAAGCCGCUGCUUCUUCUCCCGCCGCCGCUCCACCCCCCGGGCUACGGCGCGCUCGUGCCCGUGAAGACCGAGGAGCCCGUGCCCGUGGCCACCGUCUCGUCACCGCCCAGGGCGCUCCCGCCGCCGCGCCUCUGCCGCCAGUUCUGGAAGUCCGGCGACUACGUCGUCGCGCGCCGCAACCCCGAUGUGGCCGGCCCCGGUGGGCGGAACCGGUUGCGGAUAAACCCCAAGUUUCUGCACUCCAAUGCGACUUCCCACAAGUGGGCUUUUGGCGCCAUUGCCGAGCUCCUUGACAAUGCAAUCGAUGAGGUGAACAAUGGGGCAACAUUUGUCCGUGUUAAUAAAUUUAAAAACCCACGAGAUGGGAACCCCUCAUUGUUGGUUCAAGAUGAUGGAGGGGGGAUGGAUCCUGAGGCACUGAGACGUUGCAUGAGCUUCGGAUUUUCAGAUAAACAGUCUGAUGCUUUCAUUGGGCAAUAUGGCAAUGGUUUCAAGACUAGUACGAUGCGGCUUGGAGCAGAUGUGAUUGUUUUUACACAAAACCAAAAUAACUGGGUGCCAACUAGAAGUAUCGGCCUUCUUUCUUACACAUUUUUGAUGGAAACAGGUUGCGAUGAUGUGCUGGUGCCAACGGUAGACUAUCAGUAUGAUCUAACAACAACUUCAUAUGUUCAGAUGUUGCGUCAUGAUCAGAAGCUCUUCUCUUCUAAUUUGGCAAUCCUUCUCAAAUGGUCCCCUUUUUCUACUGAAGCUGAGUUGCUUAAACAAUUUGAUGAUAUGGGAGAUCAUGGAACAAAGAUAAUUGUAUUCAACCUCUGGUUCAAUGAUGAUGGGGAUAUGGAGCUUGAUUUCAACUCUGACAAAAAGGAUAUCCUCAUUACUGGGGCCCACAAGAAGGUGAAAACAAACAGUUUGGACAAGAUUGCUGCACAGAACUACGUCUCAACUCGGCUUCGCUAUUCUCUUAGAGCAUAUGCAUCUAUCUUGUAUCUUCAUGUACCUGAUACUUUCAGAAUUAUCCUGCGGGGAUGUGAUGUGGAACCACAUAAUGUAGUUAAUGAUUUGAUGUAUCGGGAGUGCGUGUUGUAUAAACCACAAAUUGCUGGACUUACAGAGUCAUCGGUAAUCACAACCAUUGGGUUUGUUAAAGGUGCACCAGAUAUAGAUGUACAAGGGUUUAAUGUAUAUCACAAAAACCGUCUAAUAUUGCCCUUCUGGAAAGUUGCAAACAACUCAUACGGGAAAGGACGAGGAGUUGUUGGCAUUCUGGAGGCCAACUUUAUCAAACCUACCCAUGACAAGCAGGAUUUUGAGAAGUCAGUCCUUUAUCAAAGACUUGAGUUCCGCUUGAAAGAAAUGACUUACGAAUACUGGGACCUUCAUUGCCAUCGUGUUGGAUAUGACAACAAAAAAUUACCUAAAGCAACCCGUGCUAUUAAUCGUGCCAAUCAUAUGAACGGUGGCAGUUCCCCAACAAGUGCUCCACCUCGGUUGCUUGCAGUUGAUAUUCCAACAAGCAGCUCUAGUAUACCUAGAUUAUCAGCCUCUGCAGCAAGAGAAAAGAUCAGUAGUCUCGAUUCUCUUCCCAAGAGCAUGAUUGGAUUGAAGAGGAAGUUUAAUCCUUUCGGUGCUGUGGCGGCCAGUGCUGAUCAGGAUGGACUACAUCAUAUGGAUAAAAUAGUAAGUAUUUACACGACAUUGGCAGGGGAAGAAUAAUUCUCACUCCAUUCAUUUCUGUUUGUUGUUUUACCUUGUCAGGUGUAGCACCCCGUCCACUCCCGGACCGGCGGUACUUCUGGCAGCUCUUUAGGAUCAUAUAUUGUCCCCACAGAUCAACACGAGUCUUUUGUGCGCAUUUUGCCCUCACUCACGCGCACCUGAGAAAACUUCCUAGUCGGUCACCCAUCUUAAAUUGCUCAAAGCCAAGCACGCUAACCUGGAGGUUUUUUCGAGAUAGGCUUCCGAAAAAGAAGAUGCACCUUGUUGGUAUGGAUACUCUAUUAAUUCUAUUAAGCCUUGGGCCAGGAUAUCACCAUCCCAGGGGCCAGGAUAUCACAAUCCACCCCCCUUAGAAGACCGAUGUCUUCGUCGGUCAAUCCUAAUCCAGGAACCUCCCCUCUUAGCCACGUCUGCGUGUCUAAUGUCGUCAUAUGCCAUGCCAUGUGACCACUCCGGGCCCACAUGCGCCAUGCGCCAUAUAUCCGAACCCCUAACUCAUACACACCCGUGAAACCGCGAGAGUCGACUCUGAUACCACUUGUAACGUCCUGUCCACUCUCGGACCGGCGGUACUUACUCCUGGCAAUUCUCUAAGAUCAUAUAUUGUCCCCACAGACUAACACGAGUCUUUUGUGCGCACUUUGUCUUCACUCAUGCACCCCUGUGAAAACUUUCCGGUCGAUCAUCCAUCCCAAAUUAUUCUAAGCCAAGCACACUUAACUUGAAGGUUUUUUCGAGAUAGGUUUCCGAAAAAGAAGAUACACCUUGGUGGUAUGGAUAUUCUAUUAAGCCUUAGGCCAUAACAACAUGUCCAUAGCAUAUUUAGUGUUUACUACGCAUGCCAAGAUCUUUUCUUUUGUUUGUUGGUCACCAAGGGUGGUGGGGUGACAUAGUUUUAUGAUAACAGUGGUAGUGUAGUGACUGUGUGCUUCUCUUAAUUCCUGUGGACAAGUCACCAAAAAAGCAGAAGGAAUAGCUGAUAUAUGGAAUGUGGUGCAGCCCCAAUUCGUUUUAAUCACUGUCAACAAGAGUUAACUGGGCAUCUAAUUCUGUCGGUUUUGACCAUGGCUUUGACCACUAUCAGGAAUAGACUUGCCUCCCUCCACGGCUUUGACCAUGUCCAUAAUUAACUUUGGCUACUUUGGUGACAAAAAGUGGUAUCAUCAGCAUGAGCUACUUGUCGGUUUCUACUUCAGUCGCAGCAUCCGCAUCACGGCGCCACUACGACUGGGAAAUGGAAAUGAUGUUUCUCAACGAAGACGGUUUAAUGAAUACAAAACUUUGACCCUGGAGAAUGACAAGUUGCGAAAUGAAUGCUUACAAUACGAGGGAUCAGAGAAACAACUUGUCCUGAAGGAACAAAAGCUCCGAUCUGAAAUUGCUGAGGUGGAAAAGAAGUAUCAGGAAUUGUUGGGAGAGCUCAGAUCAUUGGAUGUGAAGAAAGAGAAACAAUGAACUCUCCACUUCAGCGCCUGUUGUACAAUUAAUUGCUCUUUUUUCUUUCCUGACCUGUGAAGAUGAUGACUGGAUUACUUCCCGAGACGUGCAGGGAACUGGUCCCUUGGACAAAUGUUAUCUACCGAUUACCAUUCGCUUGGUAGUUUCGUUGGAUAGCUGUAGAGGUGUAAUUUCGUUUCACUAAUCUUCCUAGGGUCCUGUGAUGGUGGAAGAAAGUGAGCAUGUAGUCUGUUGUAAAAUUAUGCAACUUGUAUCUGAAUGUACAGCAGCGGUUUCAAUGUUAAUGGCCCUCUGUUUCCAGCAGCA